GCAGGGGAGGAGCAGAGAGGGAGACACAGAAUCCAAAGCAGGCUUCAGGCUCUGAGCUGUCAGCACAGAGCCCGAUGCGGGCCUCGAACCCACGAACUGUGAGAUCAUGACCUCAGCCGAAGUCAGGCACCCUGCAUGUAAUCCACUCGUUAUGUACUAGUGUGUCUUUGACCUGAAAUUACAUUGGAAGAAGCUGGAAUUAAACGAAAAAACGGAAAAGAGCAAAGUAACUGCAAAACUGUGUGUGAUCACCCAGAACACAGUGUGGAAAGGCCAUUUAAACAACACUGAAAAGCUCCAUACUUCCACCUUUUGGGAUUCUGCUGACCUAGAGGUAAGAUUGUUUUUUUUUUUUCUUAA